ACUGAUCAAAAUUAAUUCAAUUAAGUCAUUAAAUAAAAAAAAAAACCAUAGCUAAGGAUGAUGUAGUAUUAAUGAUUAUUUUACAUCUUUGGUUUUUAAGCUAUAUAUACAUAUUUAUUGAGACAAAAAAUAAACCACUUUUUUUUGUUUUAUCUAAUUUUUUUCUCUCUCACAAGACACAAAUACAAUCAAUAUUUGCAGUUUAUUUCAACUUCUAUCUAUCGAACUAAAAUCAUAGUUCCGCCGCGAAUUAACGCAGCUUAAAUCUAAUAAAACAAUAGCUAAGGAUGAUUUAGUAUUAAUGAAAAGAAAACAAAUCUAAGCAUCAAAUCUUAAAUAACAAAAGCGAGUCCUAAGCAAACAAACAAAUCCAACUUGGUGAUCCGUGGAUCGCGUUAGAUAUUUAGAUGAAUAUACAUAAAAAUUGAACCAUUAACAAUGCUCAAGGCUUCAAAUUUUCAGACGUACAAACGACAAUUAACAGGAAAAUGCUGAUCGCAAAUCGAAGCAACUAGGAAAAUCUUUUGUCUUGUCAUGAUCUUUUUGCCCCUUAUCUCUUAUUUAUUAUAUUUAUAUAUUGUUGAUCAGACAAUCACUUUGCCUUAUCCACAUUCAUUGUCAUCAUUCGACUAGAUAAAAUCAUUCUGAUGACUCUUAUCACGUCUGUUAAUUCAAAAUUUGAAGCUCUAUAGUAAAUGGAACUUGCUUUCCAUUGCGUCUUGUAAAUUUAAUGAUGUAAUUUUUAUUCUUGUAAGACAAAUUUUGAAGCCAAAUUGAAACGUCAUUUAGUUUCAAUAGCAUCUAAUGUAAAACCAUGAAGAAAAAGAGAAAGCCAUGCAUAGUAUUGUAGUGUGUGUGUUACACGAAUUGAGGCUUUGACACUGUGUGAAUUAUUAAACAAAGCAAAAGAUAUCAUCACGCAAAAGAAGAUCUUAUUUCUCUUCAUAGAUGUGAAUAAUUAAUCGAUUUGGUAAAAAGGAAACAAAUGAAAUGAUCUGGAUCAAUAAUUUCGCCGUAUAAUCCCAACAACUUGAUCCAUAUGAAAAGGAAUGUGAAAGAUUUUAUAUCAUUAACAACUGUCAUUAAGUGAACACGUAUCAUCAAGAUUGUCAUCAAUUCAAUUAAUUAACCCUACAUAGAAGAUAAUUCAUUAUGUGAAUAACAAAGCACAAUAUAUAUAAUCAUAUCAUUUGCCAUUAAUAAAAAAAAAAAUUCCCUCUCUUUCUUUCACGCCUCACAUAACUUUAUUAUUUUAAGUCCAUCCCUUACUAUCGAAUAUGAUUGGUUUCUACUUUCUAUUU
rnacentral:lncRNA from 1 species